CCUACGGGAGGCAGCAGUGGGGAAUUUUGGACAAUGGGCGAAAGCCUGAUCCAGCAAUGCCGCGUGAGUGAAGAAGGCCUUCGGGUUGUAAAGCUCUUUUGUCAGGGAAGACACGGUGAGAGCUAAUAUCUCUUGCUAAUGACGGUACCUGAAGAAUAAGCACCGGCUAACUACGUGCCAGCAGCCGCGGUAAUACGUAGGGUGCAAGCGUUAAUCGGAAUUACUGGGCGUAAAGCGUGCGCAGGCGGUUUUGUAAGUCUGAUGUGAAAUCCCCGGGCUCAACCUGGGAAUUGCAUUGGAGACUGCAAGGCUAGAAUCUGGCAGAGGGGGGUAGAAUUCCACGUGUAGCAGUGAAAUGCGUAGAUAUGUGGAGGAACACCGAUGGCGAAGGCAGCCCCCUGGGUCAAGAUUGACGCUCAUGCACGAAAGCGUGGGGAGCAAACAGGAUUAGAUACCCUGGUAGUCCACGCCCUAAACGAUGUCUACUAGUUGUCGGGUCUUAAUUGACUUGGUAACGCAGCUAACGCGUGAAGUAGACCGCCUGGGGAGUACGGUCGCAAGAUUAAAACGUCAAAGGAAUUGACGG
rnacentral:rRNA from 1 species